GGCUGGAUGCCUUUCCAAAAGUGAAAGCGGGGAGAGGGAAGCCUUGUAGCCAAAAUUUUCUAUCCCAGUCUCACUCCGCCCCCCUCCCUCCUUCACCCGCCCAACCGGACUGUGGGUAUGGAAUAGAUCCCUUCCACUCAUUUUCGUGAGAUCAAUAACUUGUCCUAAGGGAGAAGCUUGGAGGGGAAGAAAAAAAAGGAAAUCAAACCUAGCCGAAUCGGAUUGCCAAGGGAAUUGCCCUCAGUGACUUGUUAAGGGGAUCCAAACAAAGAGGUGCAUCUACCGGAAAUAAUGAUGGGAGAGAUUCGCUGCCUUGCCCCCUCCCGCCUCCAUUAAAAUUGUUUUUCUGGGAGGCUCAGUUAGAGGGAAGUUUGGAACUAGAGACUGGGAUGAAGAAAGUCUAGGAAAGAUUCCCCCCCACCCCCUUCCUUCCCAAAGUUGCUGGGAUCGGAGGGAUCCCAAGCAAAAGCUUGGGAGGGGGAUCGGAGAAGGCUGAAGUUAGACCUGAGCUGGAUUGGGCCAAGGUGAUAUUCUGCUAUGUAGUGAAGUGUUAUCAAAUGACAGUUGUGGGAUUAGCUGAACUGCUUACAGAUAUGACUCACAUCAGUACAGUGAGCGAUGAUGUACAUUUGAUGGAGCCAGUAAUUAAGGGAUUUACAUUCAGAACUGUGUCCUGAAAUUUCUUCCUGUUCUAAGACAGAUACCUGAGAUAUAUAUAUAUCUUCAAUAAAUAAUGGAAACAUAAAAAUCAUUACUACCACCACACUGUCACAACAAACCUCAAAUACUGGUUUGGAUGAUGGAAAUCUAAUGAGAGUAGCUGAUGCUGUCAAGAAACAAAAUAAACUAGAAGAGAAUUGUAAUGGAACAUCCAGAUUCAGGGAUGUAGCCCAAGGGUUCAAAGGGCACAACGAGUUUGAAACAUGACUUCUUUUUCUCCUGUGGCUGCCAUCAAAGAAAUGCACAAUGCGGAGCCUUCUUGGUGGUUGCUCCCACACUGUGGAACUUUUGUGCUCUCAUUCUACUGGCAGGCAGUCCUUUCCAGAAGAAGGUGUAGCCUCCUUUUUCAUCCUUCAGCAAGGUGAUAAUGAUGGAUCAUAGGAGCAGCCACAGUUCAGCAAACAAGCAGUAAAACUCAAGUCUCUAUUCCUGUGAGGAAUUUACUUUAUAACAUCCUUUGAGAGGAGCGAACUAUUUCAUUGGUACCGAACUCCUGUAAGCAAGGUGGCGCACAGAGAAGGAAGUUAACCUAUUACAGUCCUGAGAGGAAGGCACAGGGAAAUGUUUCAAGGUUUUAGCUGGCAGUGUAAGGAAUGUACGGUGCUAAUGCAGGGAACCGAGUCUCAUGCUGUGUCUGCAGGAACAUAACUGGGCACUCCUGCUCCCUACUUCCUGCAGGAUUUGAGCCACGCUGUUUGGAAGGAGCGAUUUCGUCUUCUCUCUGAGCGAUGACGCUGCACCACUUUCGGCAUAUCCUGCUUCCUCCAUUUACCUGGGUGGCUGCUGCUGUUGCUGCUGAUGGGGUUGCUCCUGCCUGCCUGGAUUUCCACCUGGCUCGGACUAUGGGAGAAUCACUUCUCAUCCUGCGAAUUAAAAAAGCAUGAUGAAAUCAGGGCAGGGAAAUGCUGCUGGAAAAGAAGAAAUGUGUGACGCAAGGUUUAUUUUCUACCCCUCCUAAAAAGGUGACAAAAUAAGCCGUUUGUUCUGUGCCUCAAUCUCCACAGCCUUCCAGAGAAUGGUAUCUGGAGCUUCCUUGAUUCUUCGUACCUCAGAGGCCAGAUGGAGUAGAGGGUCAUUCCAGGAGCGGAGUACACUCAACACUAGAUUUAGCAAGUCUUCGUGCUGCUCAUUCACACAAGAUAACGCUGUUAAAUACUGCCACACAAACUUUAUACUUGAAGAAUUGCCUUCUGGAGACCUAGCCAAGAGAAAGAGAGGAUGCACUGAGAGGCCCAGAAUGACUGAACUUUUCUUACCACUGUGUUGAGCUCUGAGGCAGGCCCUGUGUUUAAAAAUAGUCGUACAGUCCUCCUUCCUGUGUAGCUCUUUUCACAGCAAUUGGUUCUGAAGGAUGAAGUCAUGCUUGGAGCUUGCUGGUGACUAGAUGGGUUGUUUCCAGAAGUGUGCAGAGAGGUUCACAUACUGCAAGCUAAAAAAGAGAUAGUUAAGAGUUUGCCAGUAAUCUACCCAAAGAGGAAACAAAUGGAAGAAGGAAUAAAUAAAUAAAUCUGUCUUAAAAUGUAAAACAUGAAAGGAUGAUGUAUGAGUUCCUAGAUUUAUGAAGCCAUCUGGAGAACUGGCAUUUGCACAGCUUGAUAUUUGACAGCUCAUGAUUUGAGGGUGGGUUUUUUUUCAAAUCCUGAAUUCUGUGAAUGCAUUGAUCUUUCUCUGUUUUUCUGUGUCUUGUAAUAGAGUUUUUUAAAAUUUGCUCAGAGAAACAUUGAGCCUUUUAGUGUUUGGUAAAUAGUUCAGGGGGUCUAUUUCUUACGACUAUCUUCUCUAUGUUUAAUUCAUUAAGAGGACUGUUUAAUUUUUGGUGUGUUUUGACAGUUGGGUGACCUUUGAUUUCCUCAUUCAAGAAAAUAGUUUAGGCUGACAGAGGCUGAAAAGAGCUUUCAGGUUCGUGGCCCUUUGGAAACAAGCCGACCCUUCGUUUCUACAAACCCAAGUCCAGACGAAGCAAUUGCUUUUAAUCUAUAGAUUGCUCUGGUGAACAAGACAGAUCAAAGCCCCGUCUUAAACAUGUUUGAAAAAUGCACAUCCGCAUUGCAGUGGGAAAAAAAGGGGGAGGCUGUAUGGAAAUCAAUAAUAUCUCAUUCAAGCAGACUCUAUGACUUUGACUUCAAAGUGACUUCAAUGUGUGUUCUCAAUUUCAAAAGAAAAUGAGGGCUGGCAAAAAGUGGGGAGUGUGGUGGCAAGGAAGAGGUUCAUGGUUUCUCCUCUAUUAAUUCUGUGUGUACGCCAGCUGAGUUCUAGAAGGUUCUAUCACUCUUUGGCGAAGGAGAGCCUGCUGUGUUACAUUUGUUAACUGCCUGCACCUGUGACCACCACCAAAGGCAAGGCAAAGCUGGAGGAGGUGCACAACAGCUUACCACUUCCCUGCUUUUGGAAUGCAAAUGAUUCACGCUUUUAUGAGAGAAUUAGGGAGGUAAGCAUAUAAAAGGCAGUGAAUCUGGAAAAGUAACUUGAGUUGUUUUGCUGCUUGUUUUUCUUGAAUCCUUACAAAAAAUGCCUCCCGUCCCACCAGAAGGCUUAAACAGAGGCAGGGCCUUCCACCAUAAUGUACACUUAUGAUUUUUGUUAUGUUUUCAUGUCUUUAUUUACUGAAUUUGACUGUAUUUACUGAAUUUGACUAUAUUUAUUGAAUCCACAUGAUAGACUGCUUCAUAUUGCAGAUUUCAGCAGUAUAUAGUAGGAUGAAGCAAAUAAAUCUGAAAUGGUAUGAUGAAACAUACAUGAAUAAAAACAGCGACUGGGAUUUCUUAA